rnacentral:lncRNA from 1 species
UGGGGAAGAAUUGGAUAAGCAGACUUUGAAAGCAGAAAUAGAAAUUUGACUCACUCGCCUGACCUCUAAGCUGAUUGAGGUGUUGAGCAUAUGUGAGUGCAAGAUUGAGAUCCUUACCGGUAAGGUAGAAGCUGUGGAGCAGAUUGUGCGCGAAGGUGGGAGCAAGACCCUACCAAAACCGGUUCAUUUGUUGUUGUACAUGUGUCUGAGUGAGACAAAGCCACUGAACGUAGGGUUAGUACCAAACCUAAACCCAAAAGAGGGAAAAAUACUUUAUCUACUUGUUUGAAAUUGUUGUUUUUCAUUUUAUGUGACAAACUUGGUUUGAAAUCUUUAUUAACUUGUUUGAGAAAACUGGUUUGUGCUACUUUCGAAUGUUUGCUUUUGGUUUCUGAAACAAUGUAAUGAUUGAUUUUGUUUGUGUUACUUUGGAGUUGUUAAUUAAUGUGUUGACUUUUUAUUGUGUCAAAAUAAUGCAGAGUG